GAGGGAGAAAAUACCUGGUAAAUACGCACUUGCCACAUACAAGUAAAUAUGCAUUAUGCACAUCUCUACUAUACACUUUGUCUGACAGUACUCAGCUGUCCUUUUAAUUUUUAAGUGUUUACCAUUAUAAUUAUCUUUGGUGUUUACAAAUAUUGCAAAGAAAUUGAUUAGGAUACAUACCAACGGAAAGUUAUUACUUUGGAACCAUGGAAAAAGACAAAAAGUGUCAUAUAGAAAAAUUACCAUCAGAAAUUUUAGUUACAAUACUCCAGCAUGCAAAAAUCGAAGAUAUUAUUGCUUUUGGUGCAACUUGCAAGUAUUAUAAUGAUAUGGUAAAGGAUUGUCAGAUAAUAUGGAAGACAAAAUUGAAAAAUAUGAUUCCAUCUGAAUUAUUUUACACACUUGCUGCGGUUGUUAACGACGGAGUUUGGUUCGACCGCGUUAAAGAAUUUUAUACAAUUAAGCAAAAAGUGUAUAGCGAAAUCUUAGCCAUGUCGCCCAAAUACUUCUGGCAAGACAAUAGCUUAACAUUACAUGAUGUGAGAAGGUUUUUUACAAUAGCCUUAAACAACAACAUGCACUAUUAUUACACAAUUUACCUAUUACAAGACCUGGUUACU